rnacentral:rRNA from 1 species
UACGGGGGGGGCAAGCGUUGUUCGGAAUUACUGGGCGUAAAGGGUUCGUAGGUGGCCAACUAAGUCAGACGUGAAAUCCCUCAGCUUAACUGGGGAACUGCGUCUGAGACUGGAUGGCUUGAGUGCAGGAGAGGAACGCGGAAUUCCAGGUGUAGCGGUGAAAUGCGUAGAUAUCUGGAGGAACACCGGUGGCGAAGGCGGCGUUCUGGACUGCUACUGACACUGAGGAGCGAAGCCAGGGAGCAAACGGG